rnacentral:rRNA from 1 species
AGAGUUUGAUCCUGGCUCAGAAUGAACGUUGGCGGCGUGGAUUAGGCAUGCAAGUCGAACGAGAAGUUUCCUUCGGGAGACGGACAGUGGCAAACGGGGUAGUAAGGCGUAGGUGACGUACCCUGGGGACCGGGAUAGCUACGGGAAACUGUAGGUAAUACCGGAUGACCCCUUUUGGCAUGAUCGCUGAGAGAGCAAAGGUGAGAUUCCACCCUGGGAGCGGCUUGCGUAGUAUUAGCUAGUUGGUGAGGUAACGGCUCACCAAGGCUGCGAUGCUUAGGGGGUGUUAGCGCAUGACCCCCACCACUGGGACUGAGAUACUGCCCAGACACCUACGGGUGGCUGCAGUCGAGGAUCUUCGGCAAUGGGCGAAAGCCUGACCGAGCGACGCCGCGUGUGGGAUGAAGGCCCUUGGGUCGUAAACCACUGUCAGAGGGGAUGAAGUGCCAGAGAGCUAUCUCUUUGGUUUGACAUAGCCUCAGAGGAAGCACGGGCUAAGUUCGUGCCAGCAGCCGCGGUAAUACGAACUGUGCAAACGUUAUUCGGAAUCACUGGGCUUAAAGGGUGCGUAGGCGGCUAUCUAAGCAGGGUGUGAAAGCCCCCGGCUCAACCGGGGAAUUGCGUUCUGAACUGGAUGGCUGGAGUGAGAUAGGGGUGUGUGGAACUUCCAGUGGAGCGGUGAAAUGUGUUGAUAUUGGAAGGAACGCCGGUGGCGAAAGCGACACACUGGGUCUCAACUGACGCUGAGGCACGAAAGCCAGGGGAGCGAACGGGAUUAGAUACCCUGGUAGUCC